GACGAACGCUGGCGGCGUGCCUAAAACAUGCAAGUCGAACGAGGUCUUCGGACCUAGUGGCGAACGGCGGAGUAAUACAUAUGUAACGUGCCUCGAAGAUUGGGAUAGUCCCGGGAAACUGGGUUUAAUACCAAAUGUGGUCGGGAGGUGGCAUCAUCACCCGAUUAAAUGGUUUUUCGCUUCGAGAGCGGCUUAUGGGCUAUCAGCUAGUUGGUGAGGUAAUGGCUCACCAAGGCGACGACGGCUAGGGGGUCUGAGAGGAUGAUCCCCCCGAGAGGGACUGAGACACGGCCCUCACACCUACGGGUGGCAGCAGUUGGGAAUCGUUGUCAAUGGGGGAAACCCUGAACACGCGACGCCCGCGUGGUGGAUGAAGGCUUAGGGUUGUAAACACCUUUUGCACGGAAAGACUUAGGACGGUACCGUGCGAAUAAGCUCCGGCUAACUACGUGCCAGCAGCCGCGGUAAGACGUAGGGAGCAAGCGUUGUCCGGAUUUACUGGGCGUAAAGCGCACGUAGGCGGCCUGUUAAGUGAGUAGUGAAAUCUCCAGCGCUCAACGCGGAAAUAGCUUCUCAUACUGGCAGGCUUGAGGGAUGCAGAGGUAAGUGGAAUUCCCGGUGUAACGGUGACAUGUGUUGAUAUCGGGAGGAACAUCCAUGGCGAAGGCAGCUUACUGGGCAUUUCCUGACGCUGAGGUGCGAAAGCGUGGGUAGCAAACAGAAUUAGAUACUCUGGUAGUCCACGCCCUAAACGAUGGAUACUAGGCGUAAGAGGUAUCGACCCCUCUUGUGCCGCAGCUAACGCAUUAAGUAUCCCGCCUGGGGAGUACGGCCGCAAGGUUGAAACUCAAAUGAAUUGACGGGGACCCGCACAAGCGGUGGAGCAUGUGGAUUAAUUCGAUACUAACCGAAGAACCUUACCUAGGCUUGACAUCGAGGGAAAGCUCUUGAAAGAGAGCCCCUCUCCCACAAGGAGAGCCCGAAGACACUUGUUGCAUGGCUGUCGUCAGCUCGUGCCGUGAGGUGUUUGGUUAAGUCCCGCAACGAACGCAACCCCUAUCGUUAGUUACCAGCGAGUCAUGUCGGGGACUCUAACGAGACUGCCUGCGUAAGCAGUGAGGAAGGUGGGGAUGACGUCAAGUCAUCAUGGCCCUUACGCCUGGGGCUUCACACGUGCUACAAUGGACGGUACAGAGGGCUGCCACCUCGCGAGAGGGAGCCAAUCCUUAAAGCCGUUCUCAGUUCGGAUUGCAGGCUGCAACUCGCCUGCAUGAAGCUGGAAUCGCUAGUAAUCGCGUAUCAGCUACGACGCGGUGAAUACGUUCCCGGGCCUUGUACACACCGCCCGUCAAGCCAUGGAAGCCUGGAGCACCUGAAGUCCGUGACCCGACCCGCAAGGGAGGGAGCGGCCGAAGGUGNGCCCGGUAACUGGGGC
rnacentral:rRNA from 1 species